rnacentral:tRNA from 1 species
GCCCGGUUAGCUCAGUUGGUUAGAGUACCACGUUGACAUCGUGGGGGUCAGAGGUUCGAGUCCUCUACCGGGCA